rnacentral:rRNA from 1 species
AACGAACGCUGGCGGCGUGCUUAACACAUGCAAGUCGAGCGAGAAAGGGGGGGCAACCCCCUGAGUAGAGCGGCGCACGGGUGAGUAACGCGUGGGUAACCUACCCCCAGGCGGGGGAUAACCACUCGAAAGGGUGGCUAAUACCGCAUGAGACCGCGGGAUCUUCGGAUCCUGAGGCUAAAGAUUGCACCGGCUUGCCGGUGCCGUCACCAGGGGAUGGGCCCGCGUCCGAUUAGCUAGUUGGCGAGGUAAUGGCUCACCAAGGCUACGAUCGGUAGCUGGUCUGAGAGGAUGAUCAGCCACACUGGAACUGAAACACGGUCCAGACUCCUACGGGAGGCAGCAGUGAGGAAUAUUGCGCAAUGGGGGAAACCCUGACGCAGCAACGCCGCGUGGGUGAAGAAGGCCU